rnacentral:rRNA from 1 species
CACGUAGGGUGCGAGCGUUGUCCGGAAUUAUUGGGCGUAAAGAGCUCGUAGGCGGUGUGUCGCGUCGGCCGUGAAAACCUGCAGCUUAACUGUGGGCGUGCGGGCGAUACGGGCAGACUGGAGUACUGCAGGGGAGACUGGAAUUCCUGGUGUAGCGGUGGAAUGCGCAGAUAUCAGGAGGAACACCGGUGGCGAAGGCGGGUCUCUGGGCAGUAACUGACGCUGGAGGAAGCGAAAGCGUGGGGAGCGAACAGG